AUACCAUGGUGAGGGCUAUUUCUUUGUAGUUCCUGAAAUUCCUCCCAUGCCUCAUAGAGCGAAUCACCAUCCUUUUUGAGUAAAGUUCUGAAUCUCCCUCCUUAGUCU